rnacentral:rRNA from 1 species
UACGGGGGGAGCAAGCGUUGUUCGGAUUUACUGGGCGUAAAGGGCGCGUAGGCGGCCAGCACAAGUCAGUUGUGAAAUCUCCGAGCUUAACUCGGAACGGUCAACUGAUACUGUGCGGCUAGAGUGCGGAAGGGGCAACUGGAAUUCUCGGUGUAGCGGUGAAAUGCGUAGAUAUCGAGAGGAACACCUGCGGCGAAGGCGGGUUGCUGGGCUGAUACUGACGCUGAGGCGCGAAAGCCAGGGGAGCGAACGGG